UUAAGUUCAGCGGGUAGUCCCACCUGAUUCGAGGUCAAAAGCUGAAAAAGUGGAACAGAUUCAGAAUCCGCUCUACCAAAAUUAGAAGCAGCCCAAAUGAGAAUUGGCCAUCUCGAAAGAUGUCCUCGGCGGUCAGAUCAUUAUCACGCUGAGUAGAACCAAUACCACAUGAAAAGCCAGCUAAUGCUUUUGAGGCCAGC
rnacentral:misc_RNA from 1 species